GAAGGUGUUGUCUGACUCAGCCUCCCAGCUUCCUUUUUGCAUAAAGAGUCUGGGGGUCCUGAAAUUUUUAGAUUUUCCUUUACAGUGGAAUAACUUCAGGUAUCAGCUUGUCAGAUGAAUCUGAGGAAAACUCAAGGAAUAAAGACAAAAUGACAUCGGAGUGGUACCUACGACAAAUGGUCAUAGAGGAACGCCUCUCCCAAAGAGCUCCGGAAGAAAAGAGCCCAGUGGUAAACAACCCAUAUACUCUGCAAAAAUAAGUAAACAAAACGUUUGAUAAUGCAUUGAAAUCAUCUUUUUAAAUGAUUUCCUGAGAGAGCAAGAAGUCAAAGAAUGCACAGAAGCUGAAAACAAGAGAAAAAGAAGACACUUGGAAGAUAAUAAAGGCCUAAAGCCAACUUUUCCCUAGGAAGCAUCUGCUCAAUCAUGAUAAUCUCCAGUUUCUGUUUUCAUGGAAGUGCAGAACAUAGGAAAUAGGUAAUAAAAUCAAGGACUACCCAAAAUGAAAGAUUUCACAGAUCUCUUCAUAAAAUUGAUGAAAAUCCUGGAGGGUGAAAUCAACCAAACAGAAGGAUCAGCAAGUAAGCUAAAUUCUCUAAGGUUCCCUGACUAGUAAACACAAUUUGGCUUUUAUAAUCUAUAUUUUCAACCUGCAUUCCUUCUACAUAUAUGGUCAACAAAGAUUUUUAAGUGAUAUCAAAUUGGAAAUACAAUCAGGUGACUGAUAGAAGCCAACAGAAUUCCUCUCCAGAGAACGCAGUCAUAUCCAGGCCUCAAAGAAUUAUCACAGCUGAAGUUCCAAGAAACAUGAGUUCAUGAUAGAAAAUCAUGAAAUAUGUGAGCAUAUAGGGUGAAAUUAAUGAGAGUCAGCCAAAACAAGAUACCAGCAAUAACUAUAAAUAUUGAAAUUAAAUUAAUUAGGAGAAUAUAAAAUUAGCACUUUCUAUGUUUCAAUCAAUAAGAUAUUUACUGAAAUU
rnacentral:lncRNA from 1 species